GAUGAACGCUGGCGGCGUGCCUAAUACAUGCAAGUCGAGCGAACAGACGAGGAGCUUGCUCCUCUGACGUUAGCGGCGGACGGGUGAGUAACACGUGGAUAACCUACCUAUCAGACUGGGAUAACUUCGGGAAACCGGAGCUAAUACCGGAUAAUAUAUUGAACCGCAUGGUUCAAUAGUGAAAGACGGUUUUGCUGUCACUUAUAGAUGGAUCCGCGCCGCAUUAGCUAGUUGGUAAGGUAACGGCUUACCAAGGCAACGAUGCGUAGCCGACCUGAGAGGGUGAUCGGCCACCCGGGAACUGAGACACGGUCCAGACUCCUACGGGAGGCAGCAGUAGGGAAUCUUCCGCAAUGGGCGAAAGCCUUACGGAGCAACGCCGCGUGAGUGAUGAAGGUCUUCGGAUCGUAAAACUCUGUUAUUAGUGAUGAACAAAUGUGUAAGUAACUAUGCACGUCUUGACGGUACCUAAUCAGAAAGCCCCGGCUAACUACGUG
rnacentral:rRNA from 1 species